rnacentral:hammerhead_ribozyme from 1 species
AUUCAGCUGAUGAGUCCCAAAUAGGACGAAAAUAGCGUCCUGGAU